UACGGAGGGUGCAAGCGUUAUCCGGAUUUACUGGGUUUAAAGGGUGCGUAGGUGGGUAGGAAAGUCAGUGGUGAAAUCUUCGGGCUUAACCCGGAAACUGCCAUUGAUACUAUUUAUCUUGAAUACUUUGGAGGUAAGCGGAAUAUGUCAUGUAGCGGUGAAAUGCUUAGAUAUGACAUAGAACACCAAUUGCGAAGGCAGCUUACUACACAGUUAUUGACACUGAGGCCCGAAAGCGUGGGGAUCAAACAGG
rnacentral:rRNA from 1 species